AGGACGAACGCUGGCGGCGUGCUUAACACAUGCAAGUCGAACGGAUCAGGUCAAGCUUGCUUGGUUUGGUUAGUGGCGAACGGGUGAGUAACACGUGAGUAACCUGCCCCAGACUCUGGGAUAACUUCGGGAAACCGUGGCUAAUACCGGAUAUGACAUCACCUCGCAUGGGGAUGGUGUGGAAAGUUUUUCGGUCUGGGAUGGGCUCGCGGCCUAUCAGCUUGUUGGUGAGGUAGUGGCUUACCAAGGCGACGACGGGUA
rnacentral:rRNA from 1 species